ensembl:lncRNA
GGUUAAGGCAGUUCUGACUUUUAUCAUAUGGGCUGUAGACUUGUAUCCUGAAUUUCUUCAACAUUGUGAAUGAGAGUCCCCUGAGUUGUCACAUUAGAGAAUUUUGUUAAUUAUUUUUAGACUUUGAUUAACUUAUCUCUUUGAAAAGUUCCUUAGCUCUUGAAACCACUUAGCUCGGUUAUUCCCAAUUACUCCUAUUACCAACUUGCUCCAGAACUUAAUUCCUCGGAAGGCUACAAAUCUUCUAAUUACAGCCUAAACGUAUUUCAUUAUACACACUUAUUCUUGUGUCACCAUUGACCUUCAGUAUAAACAGGUUUCAUCUGACCCUGAGGUAUUUGUAGGCAAUUUUUAAGCUGUGUUGAACGAGGGCAUGGAAGAAUGAUAUUCUGCAAAUCCUUUUCAAUAACCUGUUAUUGCAGGGGGAUUUGAUGGCUUGUGGUCCUUCACGCUUGUAUUGUGGGCAGUGAUUUCACCUGUUAAUGCCUUCAUUGAGUUGAUGAAUUCAUUAAACCUGGUAGUUUCAUAUGCCUUUCCUACAGUUCCAGGAAAAGAAAUACCAUUGUAUAUUACAGAACGGUUCAGGUUGGAAGGGACCUCAGGAAGUGUAUCUCUAGGUUGACUUCCUACUCAAAACAAGGUCAGCUGUGAGAUCAAAUGAGAUUGCUUAGGGCUUUAAUCAGUCAGGUCUUGAAAACACCCAGGGAUGCAGAAGCAUAGUCUGUGCAACCUGCUCCAAUGUUUCUGUCCUCUUGUGGGUGUGGGGAGGCUGCUGCUUGGUCCCUCUGAAGCUGUAUCUUCUUCAGGCUGAAUGCUGACUUCAUUCUAGUUUGUUGAUGUCUUCAUUAUAUUGGGAAAAUGAAAAAUUUGUGGUAUACUAAAUGUGAUCUAACAAGUAAAGGGGGCUGGUCUAGCCUGUGGUACUGUUAGAGCAUACUGCUGGCUUGUGUUCAGCUCACAGUUUGCUAAAACCCUCUGAUCUUCUCCCACCGAACUGCUCCUCGGCCAGUCAGUUCCCAGCCUGUAUCACUGCAAGGGUUUUUUCCCUUCUAAAGUGCUGGACUUCACAUUUGUCCUUGUUGAACUUCAUGAGAUUCCUGUCAGCACAUUCCUCUAGCCUGUCUAGAUCCAUCAGAAUGGUAACCCUGCCAUUAAGCAUACCAAUUUAUUUCUCCUCCAGUUUGAUGUCAUCUGUGACCUUUGUGAAUAAGUACUACAUUGCCUCCUUCAGGAAACUGAUAAAGAUUUUAAGCAGGACAUACCCGCAAGUAGAACCCUUUGGCACUUCAGUUGUUAUUGGCCUGCUGUCAGAAUAUGCCCUAUUAACCACAACCCUCCAAAUCUGACCUUCCCAUGAGGUUAUUACUUAUUUGAUUAUUCAUCCAUCCGGAAGGUAAUGUUCUAAUUUGGAUACAGAAAGAUGUUAGGAGAGAAUGUCAAUAUGCUUGCUGAAGUCAAGGUAAAUGAGAUCUUUUGCUCUUCCUUCCUAUACACAUCCAUGCAUUUACUCAUGGAAGACAAACUGUUUGGUCAGGCAUGGCUUGCCUUUCUUCAGUUCAUAGUGAUUGCCUCCAUUCAGCACCUUCUCUGUGCACUCAGAAAUGUGUUCCAGGAACCUUUGCUCCAUGACUUCCCUGGAGUCUGAAGUGAGACUAACCAUAUUUUUGACACCUUUUUAAAAUGUGUUCAAUUUUUGCCUUUUUUUUUUUCUCUCCAGUCAUUGAGGAUCUCUGCCAGUCUCUAUAAACUCAAAAAAUGUUAGGCAGCCUUACAAGGGCCUUGCAAUCAUUUCUUGGCAUCCUAGGGCACAGCGUUUUGGGUUCCAUAGAACUCUCUAAGUGUCUCGUUCCUUCAAGCAAUUCCUGACUCAGUCUUUAGCCACUGUUGCUGAUUUGUUUUCUGUUUAGACUCUUUUUCUAAGCACAGAAGCUUCAGAGAUGUUUCUGAUGAAGACAGGAUCAGAAAUCAUUAAGUAUCUCAGACUUAUCUGUGUCUCUAGUUAUUAAAUUUUCUAUCCCAUUCAGCAGUGGUCACAAAUUUUCCUUGUUAAGUGCUUCUAAUGUUAAUGCAUUUGUGACCUUUUCGGUUGGGUUUUUUGUUGUUGUUGUUUUUUACUUAAUCUUACAACCUCUAAUUAACAUGAAGUAUAUAUUUAGAAAGACACUCUAAAUUGGUGUCCUUUUCUAUUCAGGUUUUAAAGGAAGACAAAACUAGAGAUGUAGUAAAUGUUUCAGUGUGGAAAAGAUGAAUUCUGCUCUGUCUUUUGCAUAUUCCUGUUCUAUAACUAGUGAAAUAGAGACAUGAUCUUAAAGUUUUUCUGUACAAUUUAACUUGUGAGCAGAUGUUCAGAAAGACUUCAGAAAAUAUAAUUAUUAAGACAAGUUAAAUCUUAGAUUUUCUUUCUUCCAUCAAAAUCUUCAAAAAAAGAUUUUAUUUGUGCCUAUUCUAUAAAAAGAAAAAGAGGAAAGAGAAUUAAGGGUUUAGCUUGAAUUAGCUGGAAACUUGACUUUCACAAAUAAAUCCAGCCUUGGUCUAGUUUAAAGAAAGGAUCAAGUCCUACAUGGUUGUGAGAAAUCAGGAAACAGAAAUGUGUAAACAACUGCAUAAAAGUUUUAAAGAAAAAAAAAUAACAUUUCUGCAAAAUUGGCAUAGUUAUAGUGAAAUGUUAAGUGAAAAUCCUAAAUUGCUUCAUCUUUUGUUUUUUGUAGUGAUAUGUGUAUCCUAGAGGUUUUUUUUGAAUGUCUCCAAAAACACAAUUCAGUUCUUCUAAAGUAGUGGUGAUGAGUUCUAAUUGCUUUUAAAUUACUUGUUUAGCCCAAGAAAGUUGGGGCUCACCAACAUAUGGAACAGAAAUAAAAUGUUAACCACAUGUCUGAGAUGCUGGACGACUACCUGGGAGAAAUGAAAAACUGCAGAGCUCAACUAAUAGCGAUUGUCAACAGAGGCAGCGGUUUCCAGGCUCUGUUUUUUGUUGUUGUUGUUGUUGUUUGCUUGUUUGUUUGCUUGCUUGCUUUUGACAUCUUUGAUUUUUCUUGAGGUUCUGGGGUCUGCGACUUCCUGGGAAUCCUCCAAGGAUCAGGAAGGUGGCAGCUGCUGCUAGGUUUCAUCUGGGAAGCAAACUGAUGUGUUCUUUCUCAAUCAAGGUCUUCAAGGUCAGCUGAUACUUUAGGAUCAACAAGAAUGUGAGGAAA